GCCUGGGUGGCUCAGUCAGUUAAGCGUCUGACUUCAGCUCAGGUCUGAUCUCAUCGUUUGUGGGUUCGAGCCCCGCAUCGGGCU
rnacentral:tRNA from 1 species